GUAGGUGAACCUGCGGAAGGAUCAUUAACGUGGGGCUCCGGCCCCGCCGAGAUAGAACCCUUGCCUUUUUGAGUACCACACGUUUCCUCGGCAGGCCCGCCUGUCAAUGGGGACCCAAACAUAAACCUGAAUCACCCGUCACAGUCUGAGAAAAUCAUAAAAAUUAAAACUUUCAACAACGGAUCUCUUGGUUCUGCCAUCGUUGAAGAACGCAGCAUCUGACUGACUUCAGGUUGCGGAAUCUCGUAUG
rnacentral:misc_RNA from 1 species